UACGUAGGGUGCAAGCGUUAAUCGGAAUUACUGGGCGUAAAGCGUGCGCAGGCGGUUUUGUAAGACCGAUGUGAAAUCCCCGGGCUCAACCUGGGAACUGCAUUUGUGACUGCAUAGCUAGAGUACGGUAGAGGGGGAUGGAAUUCCGCGUGUAGCAGUGAAAUGCGUAGAUAUGCGGAGGAACACCGAUGGCGAAGGCAAUCCCCUGGACCUGUACUGACGCUCAUGUACGAAAGCGUGGGGAGCAAACAGG
rnacentral:rRNA from 1 species